GCCAGUGUAGCUCAGCGGUAGAGCAACCGAUUCGUAAUCGGUAGGUCGUGAGUUCGAUUCUCACCCCUGGCU
rnacentral:tRNA from 1 species